rnacentral:rRNA from 1 species
ACAAUGGAGAGUUUGAUCCUGGCUCAGGAUAAACGCUAGCGGCAGGCCUAACACAUGCAAGUCGCGGGGCAGCAUAACAAUUAGCAAUAAUCGUUGAUGGCGACCGGCGCACGGGUGCGUAACACGUAUGUAACCUGGCCUUUACAGGGGGAUAGUCAGAGGAAACUUUGAAUAAUACCCCAUAACACACCAUUAAGGCAUCUUAAAGGUGUUAAAGGAGCGAUCCGGUAAAGGAUGGACAUGCGACCGAUUAGACAGUUGGUGAGGUAACGGCUCACCAAAUCCACGAUCGGUAGGGGGUCUGAGAGGACUACCCCCCACACUGGUACUGAGAUACGGACCAGACUCCUACGGGAGGCAGCAGUGAGGAAUAUUGGGCAAUGGGCGGAAGCCUGACCCAGCCAUGCCGCGUGCAGGAAGACAGCCCUAUGGGUCGUAAACUGCUUUUUUAGAGGAAGAAUAAAGUCUACGUGUAGACCGAUGACGGUACUUUAAGAAAAAGCAUCGGCUAACUCCGUGCCAGCAGCCGCGGUAAUACGGAGGAUGCAAGCGUUAUCCGGAAUUAUUGGGUUUAAAGGGUCCGCAGGCGGCCCGUUAAGUCAGUAGUGAAAACCCGGGGCUCAACCCCGGACGUGCUACAGAUACUGGCGGGCUAGAGAAAGUCUGGAGGCAGCGGAAUGUGACAAGUAGCGGUGAAAUGCAUAGAUAUGUCACAGAACACCGAUAGCGAAAGCAGCUGCCUAAGACUUAUCUGACGCUCAGGGACGAAAGCGUGGGGAGCAAACAGGAUUAGAUACCCUGGUAGUCCACGCAGUAAACGAUGGAUACCAUCUUUUUGGCAAUUAUGCUGAGAGGACAAUCGAAAGAGAUAAGUAUCCCACCUGGGGAGUACGUGCGCAAGCAUGAAACUCAAAGGAAUUGACGGGGGCCCGCACAAGCGGUGGAGCAUGUGGUUUAAUUCGAUGAUACGCGAGGAACCUUACCAGGGUUUAAAUGGGUCCUGAAUAAUUUGGAAACAGAUUAGCCGCAAGGCAGGAUUCAAGGUGCUGCAUGGUUGUCGUCAGCUCGUGCCGUGAGGUGUUAGGUUAAGUCCUGCAACGAGCGCAACCCCCAUGAUCCGUUACUAACAGGUAAAGCUGAGGACUCAGAUCAGACUGCCGGCGUAAGCCGCGAGGAAGGCGGGGAUGACGUCAAAUCAUCACGGCCCUUACACCCUGGGCCACACACGUGCUACAAUGGCCGGUACAGAGAGCAGCCACCCCGCGAGGGGGAGCGAAUCUACAAAACCGGUCUCAGUUCGGAUCGCAGUCUGCAACUCGACUGCGUGAAGCUGGAAUCGCUAGUAAUCGCGCAUCAGCCAUGGCGCGGUGAAUACGUUCCCGGGCCUUGUACACACCGCCCGUCAAGCCAUGGAAGUCUGGGGGACCUGAAGACGGUAACCGCAAGGAGCCGUUAAGGGUAAAACAGGUAACUAGGGCUAAGUCGUAACAAGGUAGCCGUAUCGGAAGGUGCGGCUGGAACACCUCCUUUAUA